UGGGUUAUAGCUUAAGGAUAGCAUCUCAGUUACGUUGAGAAGAUCACUGUAGUUGGUGUGGCCUGA
rnacentral:tRNA from 1 species